UACGUAGGGUGCGAGCGUUGUCCGGAAUUAUUGGGCGUAAAGAGCUCGUAGGCGGUUUGUCGCGUCUGCCGUGAAAGUCCGGGGCUCAACUCCGGAUCUGCGGUGGGUACGGGCAGACUAGAGUGAUGUAGGGGAGACUGGAAUUCCUGGUGUAGCGGUGAAAUGCGCAGAUAUCAGGAGGAACACCGGUGGCGAAGGCGGCCAUCUGGACGGUAACUGACGCUGAGACGCGAAAGCGUGGGUAGCAAACAGG
rnacentral:rRNA from 1 species